rnacentral:rRNA from 1 species
GACGAACGCUGGCGGCGUGCCUAACACAUGCAAGUCGAGCGAGUUAAUCUCCUUCGGGAGUGAAGCUAGCGGCGGACGGGUGAGUAACACGUGGGCAACGUGCCCGAUCGUGGGGGAUAACGAAGCGAAAGCUUUGCUAAUACCGCAUAAGAUCUACGGAUGAAAGCAGGGGACCGCAAGGCCUUGCGCGAACGGAGCGGCCGAUGGCAGAUUAGGUAGUUGGUGGGAUAAAAGCCUACCAAGCCGACGAUCUGUAGCUGGUCUGAGAGGACGACCAGCCACACUGGGACUGAGACACGGCCCAGACUCCUACGGGAGGCAGCAGUGGGGAAUUUUGGACAAUGGGCGAAAGCCUGAUCCAGCAAUGCCGCGUGUGUGAAGAAGGCCUUCGGGUUGUAAAGCACUUUUGUCCGGAAAGAAAUCCUUUGGGUUAAUACCUCGGGGGGAUGACGGUACCGGAAGAAUAAGCACCGGCUAACUACGCGCCAGCAGCCGCCGUAA